rnacentral:rRNA from 1 species
CCUACGGGAGGCAGCAGUAGGGAAUCUUCGGCAAUGGACGGAAGUCUGACCGAGCAACGCCGCGUGAGUGAAGAAGGUUUUCGGAUCGUAAAGCUCUGUUGUAAGAGAAGAACGAGUGUGAGAGUGGAAAGUUCACACUGUGACGGUAUCUUACCAGAAAGGGACGGCUAACUACGUGCCAGCAGCCGCGGUAAUACGUAGGUCCCGAGCGUUGUCCGGAUUUAUUGGGCGUAAAGCGAGCGCAGGCGGUUAGAUAAGUCUGAAGUUAAAGGCUGUGGCUUAACCAUAGUACGCUUUGGAAACUGUUUAACUUGAGUGCAAGAGGGGAGAGUGGAAUUCCAUGUGUAGCGGUGAAAUGCGUAGAUAUAUGGAGGAACACCGGUGGCGAAAGCGGCUCUCUGGCUUGUAACUGACGCUGAGGCUCGAAAGCGUGGGGAGCAAACAGGAUUAGAUACCCCUGUAGUC